ACGAGUGCUGAAACUAAUAUGAUUUUUUUUCUUCUUUUGUUAAAGUGAAACUAAUAUGAUUAAAUAUAUGUUCUUCGUGCUUGGGCGAGAGUAGUACUAGGAUGGGUGACCUCCCGGGAAAUCUUCGUGUUGCAUCCC